rnacentral:rRNA from 1 species
CCUGUGACAUACCAAUUGUUGCCUCGGCGGAUCAGCCCGCUCCCGGUAAAACGGGACGGCCCGCCAGAGGACCCCUAAACUCUGUUUCUAUAUGUAACUUCUGAGUAAAACCAUAAAUAAAUCAAAACUUUCAACAACGGAUCUCUUGGUUCUGGCAUCGAUGAAGAACGCAGCAAAAUGCGAUAAGUAAUGUGAAUUGCAGAAUUCAGUGAAUCAUCGAAUCUUUGAACGCACAUUGCGCCCGCCAGUAUUCUGGCGGGCAUGCCUGUUCGAGCGUCAUUUCAACCCUCAAGCCCCCGGGUUGGUGUUGGGGAUCGGCGAGCCCUUGCGGCAAGCCGGCCCCGAAAUCUAGUGGCGGUCUCGCUGCAGCUUCCAUUGCGUAGUAGUAAAACCCUCGCAACUGGUACGCGGCGCGGCCAAGCCGUUAAACCCCCAACUUCUGAAUGUUGACCUCGGAUCAGGUAGGAAUACCCGCUGAACUUAAGCAUAUCAUA